rnacentral:rRNA from 1 species
UACGGAAGGCAGCAGUGGGGAAUAUUGCACAAUGGGCGCAAGCCUGAUGCAGCCAUGCCGCGUGUAUGAAGAAGGCCUUCGGGUUGUAAAGUACUUUCAGUCGUGAGGAAGGUGUUAAGGUUAAUAACCUUAGCAAUUGACGUUAGCGACAGAAGAAGCACCGGCUAACUCCGUGCCAGCAGCCGCGGUAAUACGGAGGGUACGAGCGUUAAUCGGAAUUACUGGGCUAAAGGGCACGCAGGCGGUUAAUAAGUUGGAUGUGAAAUCCCCGGGCUUAACCUGGGAAUGGCAUUCAAGACUGGUUAGCUAGAGUCUUGUAGAGGGGGUAGAAUUCCAUGUGUAGCGGUGAAAUGCGUAGAGAUGUGGAGGAAUACCGGUGGCGAAGGCGGCCCCUGGACAAAGACUGACGCUCAUGUGCGAAAGCUGGGGAGCAAACAGGGAUUAGAUACCCGU